rnacentral:rRNA from 1 species
GAUGAACACUGGCGGCGUGCCUAAUACAUGCAAGUCGAGCGAACAGACGAGGAGCUUGCUCCUCUGACGUUAGCGGCGGACGGGUGAGUAACACGUGGAUAACCUACCUAUAAGACUGGGAUAACUUUGGGAAACCGGAGCUAAUACCGGAUAAUAUAUUGAACCGCAUGGUUCAAUAGUGAAAGACGGUUUUGCUGUCACUUAUAGAUGGAUCCGCGCCGCAUUAGCUAGUUGGUAAGGUAACGGCUUACCAAGGCGACGAUGCGUAGCCGACCUGAGAGGGUGAUCGGCCACACUGGAACUGAGACACGGUCCAGACUCCUACGGGAGGCAGCAGUAGGGAAUCUUCCGCAAUGGGCGAAAGCCUGACGGAGCAACGCCGCGUGAGUGAUGAAGGUCUUCGGAUCGUAAAACUCUGUUAUUAGGGAAGAACAAAUGUGUAAGUAACUAUGCACGUCUUGACGGUACCUAAUCAGAAAGCCACGGCUAACUACGUG